ACGAGUGGCGGACGGGUGAGUAAUGUCUGGGAAACUGCCUGAUGGAGGGGGAUAACUACUGGAAACGGUAGCUAAUACCGCAUAACGUCGCAAGACCAAAGAGGGGGACCUUCGGGCCUCUUGCCAUCGGAUGUGCCCAGAUGGGAUUAGCUAGUAGGUGGGGUAACGGCUCACCUAGGCGACGAUCCCUAGCUGGUCUGAGAGGAUGACCAGCCACACUGGAACUGAGACACGGUCCAGACUCCUACGGGAGGCAGCAGUGGGGAAUAUUGCACAAUGGGCGCAAGCCUGAUGCAGCCAUGCCGCGUGUAUGAAGAAGGCCUUCGGGUUGUAAAGUACUUUCAGCGGGGAGGAAGGGAGUAAAGUUAAUACCUUUGCUCAUUGACGUUACCCGCAGAAGAAGCACCGGCUAACUCCGUGCCAGCAGCCGCGGUAAUACGGAGGGUGCAAGCGUUAAUCGGAAUUACUGGGCGUAAAGCGCACGCAGGCGGUUUGUUAAGUCAGAUGUGAAAUCCCCGGGCUCAACCUGGGAACUGCAUCUGAUACUGGCAAGCUUGAGUCUCGUAGAGGGGGGUAGAAUUCCAGGUGUAGCGGUGAAAUGCGUAGAGAUCUGGAGGAAUACCGGUGGCGAAGGCGGCCCCCUGGACGAAGACUGACGCUCAGGUGCGAAA
rnacentral:rRNA from 1 species